GACGAACGCUGGCGGCGUGCUUAACACAUGCAAGUCGAACGGAAAGGCCCUGCUUUUGUGGGGUGCUCGAGUGGCGAACGGGUGAGUAACACGUGAGUAACCUGCCCUUGACUUUGGGAUAACUUCAGGAAACUGGGGCUAAUACCGGAUAGGAGCUCCUGCUGCAUGGUGGGGGGUGGAAAGUUUCGGCGGUUGGGGAUGGACUCGCGGCUUAUCAGCUUGUUGGUGGGGUAGUGGCUUACCAAGGCUUUGACGGGUAGCCGGCCUGAGAGGGUGACCGGCCACAAUGGGACUGAGAUACGGCCCAGACUCCUACGGGAGGCAGCAGUGGGGAAUAUUGCACAAUGGGCGGAAGCCUGAUGCAGCAACGCCGCGUGCGGGAUGACGGCCUUCGGGUUGUAAACCGCUUUCGCCUGUGACGAAGCGUGAGUGACGGUAAUGGGUAAAGAAGCACCGGCUAACUACGUG
rnacentral:rRNA from 1 species